GAUGAACGCUGGCGGCGUGCCUAAUACAUGCAAGUCGAGCGAACAGACGAGGAGCUUGCUCCUCUGACGUUAGCGGCGGACGGGUGAGUAACACGUGGAUAACCUACCUAUAAGACUGGGAUAACUUCGGGAAACCGGAGCUAAUACCGGAUAAUAUAUUGAACCGCAUGGUUCAAUAGUGAAAGACGGUUUUGCUGUCACUUAUAGAUGGAUCCGCGCCGCAUUAGCUAGUUGGUAAGGUAACGGCUUACCAAGGCAACGAUGCGUAGCCGACCUGAGAGGGUGAUCGGCCACACUGGAACUGAGACACGGUCCAGACUCCUACGGGAGGCAGCAGUAGGUAAUCUUCCGCAAUGGGCGAAAGCCUGACGGAGCAACGCCGCGGGAGUGAUGAAGGUCUUCGGAUCGUAAAACUCUGUUAUUAGGGAAGAACAAAUGUGUAAGUAACUAUGCACGUCUUGACGGUACCUAAUCAGAAAGCCACGGCUAACUACGU
rnacentral:rRNA from 1 species